CUUUUGUAAACUCUUAUAUUCUUGUAAAUUGCUAGACUGCUGUAAAUAAAUCGCUUUUGCUUAUAUUAUGUUUGUCAUCGUUCAUUCCUGGACCCUAUGCCACUUGCUCACAUGCCUAUAUUCCAAAUUCGGCUUCAUUUUAAACGUGCAUCUUCAUUUUAAAUUGAUAACAUUUCCGUGUGUUGGGGGGACAUGUAAAACAACCCCUGGUACCAGGACUGAUGAUUUAAGCUUAAGAACCAUCGGGUGCACGGGAAUUGUGACUUUGGUGACACUAGUAUGAAUUGAUAACUUGGUCCCUCUGACAUAACCCCGUUGCAGCGUACUUAGACAACCAUCUGCCAUAGCAUGAUGGCAUUUAUAAACAGACCAAUUAUAACUCGCUAGUUCAGUUAAAACAACUGUUUUAAUAUGAUUUAGAUCAGCAGUCUCGGUCAUUCUUUUUUAAAAACCACUUUAGACACGUUUGGCUAGUUGGGAACCACAUUUAAAAUUAAUAACUUAUGAGAAAAAGACAGAGAAGUUGUUUUUACAUUAGGUGAAUAAACUGAAGUUAACUAUUUGCAUUUUAAUUUCCUUAAAAUUGUAUGUCUUAAUUCAUGUUCAAAAUUAUAAAAUC
rnacentral:lncRNA from 1 species